rnacentral:tRNA from 1 species
ACGCCCGUAGCUCAGUAUGGAUAGAGUGCUGCCCUCCGAAGGCAGAGGCCUCAGGUUCGAAUCCUGUCGGGCGGA